UACGGAGGGGGCUAGCGUUGUCCGAAGUUACUGGGCGUAAAGCGCGCGUAGGCGGGUUGGUAAGUCCGCUGUGAAAGCCCGGAGCUUAACUCCGGAGGGUCGGUGGAUACUGCCAGUCUUGAAGGUGCUAGGGGGAGAUGGAAUUACCGGUGUAGCGGUGAAAUGCGUAGAUAUUAGGAAGAACACCAGUGGCGAAGGCGGCUCACUGGUCCGGUACUGACGCUGAGGUGCGAAAGCGUGGGGAGCAAACAGG
rnacentral:rRNA from 1 species